GUUAUAUGGUCAAGUGAAGAAGCGCAUACGGUGGAUGCCUUGGCAGUCAGAGGCGAUGAAAGACGUGGUAGCCUGCGAAAAGCUUCGGGGAGUCGGCAAACAGACUUUGAUCCGGAGAUGUCUGAAUGGGGGAACCCAGCCAUCAUAAGAUGGUUAUCUUAAGCUGAAUACAUAGGCUUAAGA
rnacentral:rRNA from 1 species